GGUAAGCCGUAUGGUCCCACAUAUAACAGACAAGAACAGUAGUACUUCAGAUUCAUCGGAUAAUAUACUCGGGGGCCGUUUCAAAAAGCUGUUCGUGUGUUAAGAGCGACUUUAAGAACGACUGGUGAUAAUUUCUUACGCGCUAAACUAUAGCCAAUGAAUAUACCAUUUACAAUAAGAAAGGAACACCAGUCGCUCUUAAAGUUGCUCUUAACUUACGAACAGCUUUAUGAAACACCCACCAGAUAAGAACAGUCCUUCAGAUUCAUUGGAUAUAAGUUGGGGGUAAGCCAUGGUCCCACAUAUACCAAGAACAGUCCUUCCGAUUCAUUGGAUAAGUUAGAGAGAACACGAGUGGAGACUCUUUUGGAAGAUGAGAGAGGGCUUACUAUUGAUAGAGAUCUGAGCUGAUUAUAUCACUUGUUCAUGAUAUACUUCAAGCAAUGAAAUCUAAACUUCAUGCCAUGGAAUGGAAUAAAGGAAAGAAGAAAAGUUGAAGUUGUAUAGCCAAGAUGAGGAAGAAAUGAAUGCUGUCUUGAUGAGAUGAGAGGACCAGCUUGGCCAUUCUAUCCAACUUGCGUUCUAGUUUGGCUUACAAAAUGACUAAAUACCCAUACGUGCUGAAUAACGGUACUAAAAUAUUUUUGUAGUUUCAAACUCUUUGUCUAUAUUUAGACACACAGCUAACAUAAAUCUAUAUUCAAAGAAAGAAAGGUGACUCUUAAGGAUAGAAAAAUGAUGUCUUUAGUUGAUGUACAGUUCUAGAACUCCUAAUUACCUAUUCAGUUAUUAAUUAGCAAAUUAAUGUGAAAAAAAUGAUUUGUUAUGUUCUAGAGUUUGGCUAUUUUAUCAAUGUCAGCAUAGAAAUUUUCUUGUGUUUCCCUGUGUUUAUGGGAAUUCAAUGAUAGUUUCAACCUUUUUAGAAAUUUUCAGACCAGAAUGUUAAAAGCAUGUACAAUCUGUAUAUAUUCUUAGUGAAAUUUGACUGAAGUAAAAAAAAAAAAAUACUGUUCCGAAAGGUUUUGACCAGUAAUUCUAUUUUUGUAUCUACAUGUAUGUAUGAAGCAAUGUGUGAUAUCCAUUUUCUAGAAAUAAACCUAUGAUAUUAUGA